AGUGAACGCUGGCGGUAGGCCUAACACAUGCAAGUCGAACGGCAGCACAGUAAGAGCUUGCUCUUACGGGUGGCGAGUGGCGGACGGGUGAGGAAUACAUAGGAAUCUACUUUUUCGUGGGGGAUAACGUAGGGAAGCUUACGCUAAUACCGCAUACGACCUACGGGUGAAAGCAGGGGAUCUUCGGACCUUGCGCGAUUGAAUGAGCCGAUGUCGGAUUAGCUAGUUGGCGGGGUAAAGGCCCACCAAGGCGACGAUCCGUAGCUGGUCUGAGAGGAUGAUCAGCCACACUGGAACUGAGACACGGUCCAGACUCCUACGGGAGGCAGCAGUGGGGAAUAUUGGACAAUGGGCGCAAGCCUGAUCCAGCCAUACCGCGUGGGUGAAGAAGGCCUUCGGGUUGUAAAGCCCUUUUGUUGGGAAAGAAAAGCAGCAGGUUAAUACCCCGCUGUUCUGACGGUACCCAAAGAAUAAGCACCGGCUAACUUCGUG
rnacentral:rRNA from 1 species